CCCUGGUGACUUUAAGUUCACUGUUCUGUUUGUAUGACCAGCAGAGUUUAGAAUUGCAGUGUGCCUGGGACUUCCCUUUAAACAGCAUGCUUCCCACUGCCUAGUACAAAAGCACAACACAGGAGAACAACAAACAUUAUCAAGAGCAUUUUUUCUCUUGAGUGUAUUCAUUUUAGCAGUUCAAAUUCAUUUUUCAAGUUUCCUAUAAGCAGUUUCUCUAUUAAAUUGGACUCCUCAGAACUCAUGUGAACUCUUCACUCUUUUUUUCCUUCCCUAGUAAAUUAGAUUUGUUUUGUUUUGUUUUCUUUUGGAAAUAGGAUUUUGAUUAAAUUUUGUUUCCUUUGAAAGAAUAAAGCAGUGAAAAGAAUAAAACACUUUUAAGCAGGUAAAAUUCUGUUCUUCUCAGGAAGUGGAGAAAAGUUCACCGGCAGAACCCAGGGAAGAUCUGGGCUGAUUCCAGGCUGGCGUUGGGUUAAGCUGCAGUGCCUGAUUCAGGGGCAACCGCACUGGGCAACCGUCCAUCUGAGAGAUGAAAAUCCCUCAACUGCUGCUGGGGGAACAGAGAUAGAGUUUGCUAAGGACCAAGGACUCCUGGCCCUGGGUCCUCUCAGUGGCUUCAGAACCAGGAUGGCCUCUGCCACAGUGUUUCCCAGAGCUGCUCCCAUCCAUCGACUCCUCCUAUUCAGAGAAGCGGAGAAAACCUGUCUAUAACAGGUCUCCUAAAAGACAGUGAGGGGUUACGGGGUCCCAGCUCAUGCAACUAACUUAUUCCUGCCUCUCUGUACCUUGAUGGGUAAUGGCCGGACCACAGGAAGUAUUUGCAACUCCUAGAAAAGAAGGGGAUUACAAAUUAACACAAUGUAAAUAUAAUAAAGUAAAAUGUUAUCCUAAAACAGA